AUGAAUGAGGAAGUCGUACAGUGGCGUUUCACGGGUUUUCAUGGUCACCCGAACUGGGGCGAUCGCAAUUUAUCUUGGGAGGAUAUUCGUAAUUUGUAUCAUAAGGGUAAUCAUCCAUGGGUGAUUCUAGGAGAUUUUAAUGAGAUUUUAUAUUCCACGGAGAAAGGGGGGGGGGGCAAUGCGAGACCGAAUGGAAUGAUGAAGGAUUUUCAUGACUGUCUAGCAGAAUGUGGCUUGGAUGAUAUGGGGUUCAUAGGCGACUUUACAUGGAGGAGAGGUGAGAUCUGGGAACGUCUUGACCGUGCAGUAUGUAAUGUACAAUGGGCGCAUAAAUUUCCUCGGGCGGUUGCGAUUAAUGAAAACCAUGUACAUUCUGACCACUGA
rnacentral:rRNA from 1 species